UAUGUUGAACCUAACAUUUUACAGUUGAAAUAUCGAUCAGCAAGUUUAAUAAGCUUGAAUUUUUUUUAUGUAUAUAAUAACAAAAAAAAAAAAGUAAUAAGUGGUUGACGAAAAAAAACGUAGUUUGUGUCAGAAUAUAAUAAUUAUUCUGUGCUCCUCUAUCAACAACUCGACUAAUUUGUACACAAUAUUUUUGUGUUUGACAGGAGGUAGCGCAGAAAAUAAGAUUUACGGUAUGUGCGCAUACAGGGACUUCUUGACUCGUGUGAGUUUUCCAUUAGCCUUCAGCUCGUGCACCACUGAAUGCUUGUCAAGGAAUCCCCAUUUUAUGUGCACUUGCCACUAAAAUAACUAUUGUAUAACAGCGUGCGAGUAUCGAUACGACUCCACUUUAUGCACGGUAUGCCAAAAAGUAGCACUAUACGCUCACUGUUAUAAAAAAUACGUGAGAUAUGCGUGCGUAAGUUUUUACGACCACGUACAAUCAUGGCACCUGAGUGUCCAGCUGCGUCAGAAGGUAAUUCCAGGGCUAGCAGCAAGUCACUUUUUCCACUUUCUUUAUCUAUUGGUCGUUUUCUUGUUCUUGAAAUUCGAAUCCUAAAUCAAGUACACCUUCUUCUUGGGAUUUGAUUGCUUUGUAGAGAUAUUGUUAGCUUUAAAUUUCGCGCCAUAGUGCCUGGCUAGAGUGGCAUAGCUUUACUAGACACGCGCAACUCGCACGCAUACCCUGCCACCAAAAUGUCGUUAUACACAUAGAUAUUCAUACAUAAACAUUACGUCAUGUGGUUUUUCAAUUGUGCUAUUGUCGUGUCAACAAUUGUCGGAUUGCGAAAGGUACGUGUACAGAUUAAAGUAUAUCUUAAAAUCCUAAAUUAUUCAUGUAUUUUAUGUGCACAUGGUAUGUCCUGGUUUUUUUUUCACAAACUAACUACAUUACAAUUUUUGUCAAGUCUACAUUAGGUUAAACCAGCUGCCGCCGCUUACCCAAUUUUUUAUUUAUAUUUUUGUAAAAGCUUGCAUUGGGUAAAUUAUUGAUUAUGAAUAUCGAUAUUUUUGAACUAGGCUAAUGAAAGUAAAAUGAGGAAAUGUUAUGUGAACAAUGACUAGUCCAGAAUAACUGACCCAAAUGAUAGAAAAGUUGGCGAGCAUACUGCUAUAGAAAACAAACAUGCUGUUUUCUGCAAAGUCUGUGAAACGUCUCUAACUUGCAACGAGGGAUUCCAAGCUAUUACACAGUGUACCCAAAAGCGAAAGGACAACAAAAAUGUAAAAAUAAAGUUGAACCCGACUCAGUUUCAUCUUGCAGCAAGAAAUGCAGCUACAGUUGAACAAGAACAGUAACAUGCAGGCCCAAGGCUUUUAGAUAUCUACUCUGGAAAAGAUGAAGCUAUUAAGACUGAACUAAUAUGGACCAUGAAUGGAGUUGGCCAUAAUAAUUCAAGUUCGGCAUACAAUAACAUGACCAAUGUCCUGAGAGCCAUGUUCAAAAAUACUACAAAUUUCAACUUGUGUUGGACAAAAGUUACCAACUACAUGACCGAUGCUAUAGAACUGUUUUUCGGACAGUGACUACUGAACGAUAUUCGUCUUUUACUCAAUAGCGUUUGAUGAGUGUAUGUCUGAAGAAGAAAUGGAAGAAUAUCAGGUCUCCAUAAGAUAUUGGUCUUGUAGAGAAUGCUACUGCGUUAAACUUUCUUCAAACUUUGUUCAUCGGAUAUGCCGCAGGAAAAGUGUUCUAUGAACUUAUAUUGGAGGCUAUCACAAAUGUGAACUUACCAUCGGCUCGCAUGUUGAUGCUGGGAUCCGAUGGACCUACUAUCAACCAAAAAGUGUUCCGAAUUGUCGAUGUUAUCUUGCUCGAGGUCGAAAUGAUAAAAAAAAAGUCUACUAAGUAUUGGAACCUGCAAUCUUCAUAUCAUACAUAAGGCAUUCAAGAAGAGCCUCAAUAAAUGUGGCAAAAAAGGCGAAGACUUAUACAUCAAUUGGUUCUACUAUUCUAUUCUAGGAGGAACGAAAAUUAUCGAAGGAGUGAAGCAGUGAUGAGAGUACCGAUGCGUGCAUUGAUGAAGCAUGUCGCUGGUUUUCAUUAGGGCCAGUGUCAAAAUAAAAAAUCGAGCAAUAUCCAGCUGCGAAGCAUUUCUGUUUUGAAACAGUGGCCAAAAAGGCGUCGGUAAAGCAACUGGAAGAAGACAAUAGGUUAGCCAAGAUUUUCGCUGACCUAAAAAAUCCUUCCACUAUAGCAGAAAUAUUGUUGGUCAUUAAAAGCACCCAGCUAUUUAAGCGCACCUGCAAAAUUUUUCGAAAACAAGAACUACUUAUUUAUAUUCUUUGCGAAGAAGAUAAAAAUUUGUUUAUCAUCAUUGUAAAUAAAAUAUGUAAACCAGAGCCAGUAAAGAACUUUUGGCAAUUCAACAAUCUGUUUGCUGCAGAACAUGCGACAAGUGAACAAUGUUUUAUGUCUUAAAAAGAUUGAGACUGCUCUCCAGAAAUUGAGUGAAAGAGAAAUUCAGCAAUUUUGAUAUAGUGCUCAGCUGCGCUGCAAGGCGGCAGCAACUGAACACAUUUCAGUCAAAUCUAUUUUAAGAUCUGUUACAGCUGAACAUUUCAGAUUUUUUCAACCUCAACUGUUAACAUAUUCGAUAAGCACUGUCAAUAUCGCAGCAAUUAAUAGAGUGUACACUCUUGGCAUCUCCAUGGCACAGCUCUUGGAUAAAUGGCUUAUUCAGCUAGAAAAAAUUCCUCCUGCUUGUGAGUGAGAACAUAUAGAUCACUACUGGAGGAAGAUAUUCGAUGUAAAAAAUGAUAUGGAUGAGACAAAGUAUCCAUUGAUCACAAAAGUUGUCAAGGCGAGUUUGUGCCUUGUACAUGGCAGUGCCAAUGUAGAAAGACGUUUCAGUGAGAGCUUCCAUGUCAAUAAAAACACUAACUGCUAGAAUGAUCAUCAAAGAUGAUCUAAAGACAUAUGACGAGAAAGAAGGACAAAAAAAGCUGAUUGAAACACCAGAGGCAGAUCAAAAAGAAGACGACGAAAAAAUUGAGCAGCAGCUACUGAAAGACCGGGAAAAACAGAAAAGAUAUCACUAAAGUUGAAGAUAAAUUGAUGAAAGCUAAACAGGCAAUACAAUGAUAGCAGCAGAGAGGUCAGAGAAAAACUAUUGGAAGAAGCAGUCGAUCGAUUCCAAACUGCUCUGAAACGAAAUAACAAUCAAUGAGUCAAAGUCGCUCAUGGAUUGUUUAAAGGAGUUCAAGCUAUGAAGUCGGACUUGACACUUCUGAAAUUAAGUCACUACAUAGAAUUAUUGAAGAAGGUAAGUCAAGCCUUAUCACUAGCUUCUUUAAAAAGGCCCGAUUAGAACCGGAACAAAGUGUUAAUAAGGAGGAUAUAUAUGGGUUGGAUGCUGAAUAAGGCCCUCUAAUCUUAAUGAUUUUUAUUUAUGUUCUUUUAUAAUAUUACU
rnacentral:lncRNA from 1 species